rnacentral:lncRNA from 1 species
GUUCCACCAAAAACCACAACUAUGAUUCAUUCGAACUUAUCCAAAAUGCAACCAAAAUUCCAAAGUGUGCAUAAUCUCUUUUAUCAUCUUAAGUUCUGUGUUCAAAAUUCCAAAGAGUUCAUAAUAUCUUUUAUCAUCUUAAGUUCUGUGUAGUUGAGAUGUUGCAACUGUUCUUUGCAAUGGCAUUUUCUGCAGUUCCUUUGAGCCUUUAUAUUCCUCCAAUCAGAAACCUCAACCUUUUCAUCGAAUUCAUCGAGGAUAUGCGGAGGGAAUCGAGUUUCUAUACUGGCAGGAUGUAUCCUCGUUUGAGAUAUGCUUUUACUAGGAUCUUCAAUUGUAUGCUUUGUUAUAAUCAAGCUCCUCGCCGCGUGUAAGCAGCCGUCGAGGUUUCUUUUAGAAUGAACUCACUCCAGAGGGGUCAAAAAAACUUGUUUAUAAGUAGUUUCUUCUUUUUUGUAUCUCUACUGUGUUUCUUUUGUGUUUGUGG